UUUAUUGGAGAGUUUGAUCCUGGCUCAGGACGAACGCUGGCGGCGUGCCUAAUACAUGCAAGUCGA
rnacentral:rRNA from 1 species